rnacentral:rRNA from 1 species
GGUGGCAAGCGUUGUCCGGAUUUAUUGGGCGUAAAGCGAGCGCAGGCGGUUUCUUAAGUCUGAUGUGAAAGCCCCCGGCUCAACCGGGGAGGGUCAUUGGAAACUGGGAGACUUGAGUGCAGAAGAGGAGAGUGGAAUUCCAUGUGUAGCGGUGAAAUGCGUAGAUAUAUGGAGGAACACCAGUGGCGAAGGCGGCUCUCUGGUCUGUAACUGACGCUGAGGCUCGAAAGCGUGGGGAGCAAACAGGAUUAGAUACCCUGGUAGUCAAGGGCG